GAUGAACGCUGGCGGCGUGCCUAAUACAUGCCAGUCGAGCGAACAGACGAGGAGCUUGCUCCUCUGACGUUAGCGGCGGACGGGUGAGUAACACGUGGAUAACCUACCUAUAAGACUGGGAUAACUUCGGGGAACCGGAGCUAAUACCGGAUAAUAUAUUGAACCGCAUGGUUCAAUAGUGAAAGACGGUUUUGCUGUCACUUAUAGAUGGAUCCGCGCCGCAUUAGCUAGUUGGUAAGGUAACGGCUUACCAAGGCAACGAUGCGUAGCCGACCUGAGAGGGUGAUCGGCCACACUGGAACUGAGACACGGUCCAGACUCCUACGGGAGGCAGCAGUAGGGAAUCUUCCGCAAUGGGCGAAAGCCUGACGGAGCAACGCCGCGUGAGUGAUGAAGGUCUUCGGAUCGUAAAACUCUGUUAUUAGGGAAGAACAAAUGUGUAAGUAACUAUGCACGUCUUGACGGUACCUAAUCAGAAAGCCACGGCUAACUACGUG
rnacentral:rRNA from 1 species